rnacentral:rRNA from 1 species
UACGUAGGGUGCAAGCGUUGUCCGGAAUUAUUGGGCGUAAAGAGCUCGUAGGCGGUCUGUCGCGUCUGCUGUGAAAACUCGGGGCUUAACCCCGGGCCUGCAGUGGGUACGGGCAGACUAGAGGUAUGCAGGGGAGAACGGAAUUCCUGGUGUAGCGGUGAAAUGCGCAGAUAUCAGGAGGAACACCGGUGGCGAAGGCGGUUCUCUGGGCAUUACCUGACGCUGAGGAGCGAAAGCGUGGGGAGCAAACAGG